CAAUGCAUGUUUUCUUGGUUAUGUGUGUGUAUUUAUAAAUAUAUAUAUAUAUAUAUAUAUAUAAACCCUGAGACUCAUACGUGCUUGCACGGCAAAACGGCAACACAGGAGUUAUUUAGACAGCCAGGGUUUUAAACAUCAUUUGUACAAUGUUUAAAAUUUUGUAUACAUUGUAGAAGUGCUUCCUACGGGUUGCCGUGAUUUCCUUGCCCCGUCUAGGACCUACUGUGGUGUUUGUCUUCACUAGAGCCUGCGGUGGAAAAAAAAAAAAGUGAUGCUUCGAGGCUGGCAGUACCUCUGCAGACCCACCAGAUGGCGACUGUGGGAAGGAUGCCGAGCAGGACAAGAGAGGAAAAACUCCGUCAGGAGGGGUCAGGGCUUCCUGUAUGGAGGACCCGUCCGGAACAAUGCGCAUGCGAGGAGGUACUUCUCUGCUGCAAAGGGUUUUUGGGCCUCGGAUAUAAAAAAAAGAAAUCCGCGUUAGUAGCAGCCGCCGGGUGCAUAGCCUGCGGUGGAAAAAAAAAAAAGUGAUGCUUCGAGGUUGGCAGUACCUCUGCAGACCCACCAGAUGGCGACUGUGGGAAGGAUGCCAAGCAGGAUGAGAGAGGAAGAACUCCGUCAGGAGGGGUCAGGGCUUCCUGUAUGGACGACCCGUCCGGAACAAUGCGCAUGCGAGGAGGUACUUCUCUGCUGCAAAGGGUUUUUGGGGCUCGGAUGAAAAAAAAGAAAUCCGCGUUCGGAGCAGCCACCGGGUGCAUGGAAGUCGGUGGACCGGAAUCCGGACACCUGCCCUGAUUUGUGUUUAACAUGAUUAACAAUAUCAAUGUUUAGAAAGUUAGCAGUGUGCUUCCGUAUUGAUAGAGGCUAAGCAUAUAGCCUAAACGUUGACGUAUAGCACAAAUAGAACGCAUUGGCUAACAUACACAGACUGAUUUCACUGUUAGAAACCUGAUGUAAUGUUUGUAUAAAUUUAUGAAACAAGUGUGUAUAUAUAAAACGAUGGUUGUUCAUGAAGACAAGAAACGUUCUUGAACACUUUAAUAGGACACCUGGACUGUACAGAAUAGACUUUGUAUAAUAGGCACAACAGGUGCCUUUAUAAAAAUUAUAAAAAGACAUUCUGCUGCUUGCCAAACACGAGGAAAACGGGAAGAUGGGGCGGUAUUGGGAGGAUGAUGAGGACUGGGCGGACGCCCGGUACAGGGGGCGCCGCAGGCCUACACGAGGCUUCUGGGGGCGCGAUGGCGUGGCGCAGGGGUGGGUCGAUGUCCGCAGGCACACACACACCAUUCCAGCCCUCACCCGAAAUCGCCCCUCCGCGCGCACGGGGACGAGGGGGAAAGCGAAAUCUCAUGUCUUCUUUGUCUUACAGGCCCGAACGGAGAAAUCUCCUGGAGGCCAAUGAAUCACAGACCUUGAGAACAGGGAGACAGACUAAAUUACAUAUAUGUGUAAAAAAGGGUCUAUGCCUCAAUGCAUGUUUUCUUGGUUAUGUGUGUGUAUAUAUAAAUAUAUAUAUAUAUAAACCCUGAGACUCAUACGUGCUUGCACGGCAAAACGGCAACACAGGAGUUAUUUAGACAGCCAGGGUUUUAAACAUCAUUUGUACAAUGUUUAAAAUUUUGUAUACAUUGUAGAAGUGCUUCCUACGGGUUGCCGUGAUUUCCUUGCCCCGUCUAGGACCUACUGUGGUGUUUGUCUUCACUAGAGCCUGCGGUGGAAAAAAAAAAAUUGAUGCUUCGAGGCUGGCAGUACCUCUGCAGACCCACCAGAUGGCGACUGUGGGAAGUAUGCCGAGCAGGACGAGAGAGGAAGAACUCCGUCAGGAGGGGUCAGGGCUUCCUGUAUGGACGACCCGUCCGGAACAAUGCGCAUGCGAGGAGGUACUUCUCUGCUGCAAAGGGUUUUUGGGGCUCGGAUGAAAAAAAAGAAAUCCGCGUUAGGAGCAGCCACCGGGUGCAUGACCUACUGUGGUGUUUGUCUUCACUAGAGCCUGCGGUGGAAAAAAAAAAAAAAGUGAUGCUUCGAGGCUGGCAGUUCCUCUGCAGACCCACCAGAUGGCGACUGUGGGAAGGAUGCCGAGCAGGACGAGAGAGGAAGAACUCCGUCAGGAGGGGUCAGGGCUUCCUGUAUGGAGGACCCGUCCGGAACAAUGCGCAUGCGAGGAGGUACUUCUCUGCUGCAAAGGGUUUUUGGGGCUCGGAUGAAAAAAAAGAAAUCCGCGUUAGGAGCAGCCACCGGGUGCAUGUAAGUCGGUGGACCGGAAUCCGGACACCUGCCCUGAUUUGUGUUUAACAUGAUUAGCAAUAUCAAUGUUUAGAAAGUUAGCAGUGUGCUUCCGUAUUGAUAGAGGCUAAGCAUAUAGGCUAAACGUUGACGUAUAGAACGCAUUGGCUAACAUACACAGACUGAUUUCACUGUUAGAAACCUGAUGUAAUGUUUGUAUAAAUUUAUGAAACAAGUGUGUAUGUAUAAAACGAUGGUUGUUCAUGAAGACAAGAAACGUUCUUGAACACUUUAUUAGGACACCUGGACUGUACAGAAUAGACUGUAUCAUAGGCACAACAGGUGCCUUUAUAAAAAUUAUAAAAAGACAUUCUACUGCUUGCCGAACACGAGGAAAACGGAAGAUGGGGCGGUAUUGGGAGGGUGACGAGGACUGGGCGGACGCCCGGUACAGGAGGCGCCGCAGGCCUACACGAGGCUUCUGGGGGCACGAUGGCGUGGCGCAGGGUGGGUCGAUGUCCGCAGGCACACACACACACACACACACACACACACACACACCACCACACACA